rnacentral:rRNA from 1 species
AUUGAACGCUGGCGGCAGGCCUAACACAUGCAAGUCGAACGGUAACAGGAAACAGCUUGCUGUUUCGCUGACGAGUGGCGGACGGGUGAGUAAUGUCUGGGAAACUGCCUGAUGGAGGGGGAUAACUACUGGAAACGGUAGCUAAUACCGCAUAACGUCGCAAGACCAAAGAGGGGGACCUUCGGGCCUCUUGCCAUCGGAUGUGCCCAGAUGGGAUUAGCUAGUAGGUGGGGUAACGGCUCACCUAGGCGACGAUCCCUAGCUGGUCUGAGAGGAUGACCAGCCACACUGGAACUGAGACACGGUCCAGACUCCUACGGGAGGCAGCAGUGGGGAAUAUUGCACAAUGGGCGCAAGCCUGAUGCAGCCAUGCCGCGUGUAUGAAGAAGGCCUUCGGGUUGUAAAGUACUUUCAGCGGGGAGGAAGGGAGUAAAGUUAAUACCUUUACUCAUGGACGUUACCCGCAGAAGAAGCACCGGCUAACUCCGG